GGUUUCCCGUGUAUGAGAUCUCCUUCGAUAACUUCAUCCCAUGCACUGGUAAUGGGUUUCGGCAUUGCUGACAAUUGAACAUUUACUUCCUUUCCUUCUUCCAUGUCUAUUCAGGUCAGAUCCACCAAGUCCUAGGGUUCUCUUAACUGGGUUUUGGGCCUUACUUUCAGCAAGGGCUUUGGUGGUUAUGGGUUUAUUAUGGCUUCUUUUCU
rnacentral:misc_RNA from 1 species